UUGCCAUACAAAACAGGGUCGCCAGCAAUAUCGGUAUAAGUCAAAGCACCUUUAGCGUUAAGGUACUGAAUCUCUUUAGUCGCAGUAGGCGGAAAACGAACAAGCGCAAGAGUAAACAUAGUGCCAUGCUCAGGAACAAAGAAACGCGGCACAGAAUGUUUAUAGGUCUGUUGAACACGACCAGAAAACUGGCCUAA
rnacentral:rRNA from 1 species